rnacentral:rRNA from 1 species
GUAUCUAUAAACCAAUAUUAAAUGGCGGUUUUUAUUUAUUAGAGAAGCUCGCUCUAUAAUCGACAAUCCUCGAUAAUUUUAACUCCAUAUUAAAGUUUAUAUACCGCCGUUACAAAAUUAAAUUCACAUUUAAAUUUAACUUCUAUUAUUAUAACAAAAAUCAGGUCAAGGUGUAACCAAUAAUGAAGUAAAAGUAAGCUACAUUAAAUACAAUUUAAGGACCCAAAAUCAAAUAUACUAAAAGAAAGAGAAUCUAUAUAUACACACGAACUAAAAAUUCAAAUAGAAAUAUAACAUAAAAACGC